GUGGGCGUAGCUCAGUUGGUAGAGCGCCGGAUUGUGAUUCCGGUGGUCGUGGGUUCAAUCCCCAUCGUUCACC
rnacentral:tRNA from 1 species